rnacentral:rRNA from 1 species
CCCAGACUCCUACGGGAGGCAGCAGUGGGGAAUAUUGGGCAAUGGGCGCAAGCCUGACCCAGCAAUGCCGCGUGAAGGAAGAAGGCUUUCGGGUUGUAAACUUCUUUGACAGGGGAAGAGCAGAAGACGGUACCCUGAAAACAAGCCACGGCUAACUACGUGCCAGCAGCCGCGGUAAUACGUAGGGGGCAAGCGUUAUCCGGAUUUACUGGGUGUAAAGGGCGUGUAGCCGGGCUUACAAGUCAGAUGUGAAAUCCGGGGGCUCAACCCCCGAACUGCAUUUGAAACUGUAGGUCUUGAGUACUGGAGAGGCAGGCGGAAUUCCUAGUGUAGCGGUGAAAUGCGUAGAUAUUAGGAGGAACACCAGUGGCGAAGGCGGUCUGCUGGACAGCAACUGACGCUGAGGCGCGAAAGCGUGGGGAGCAAACAGGAUUAGAUACCCCCGUAA